ACAUGCUGCAAUCGAGCUGGGAGGAGCUGGAUGCUAACUGACUCCAACGGCACUGCAACCUCAACCAAGUGGCAGCCCAUUUCGAAGUAAAGCAUCUUGUCCUUGAAGCAUAGAAGAAAGAGUGGGGGAAGGAAAAGAAGAGGAAUCCCAGCCUACUCUCCCCAACAGAAAGACCUGCAUCUUCUGCAGGUGUAUCUGUGGCUCAAGGAUUUGACUCUUAAGUCAC